UGGCCAUACCAUGCUAUAAACAUCGGUUCUCCUCCGAUCACCGAAGUUAGGCAUAAUCGGGGGUGGUCAGAGUACUUGGGAGGGUGACCACCUGGGCACACCGCGUGC